AACGAACGCUGGCGGCAUGCCUAACACAUGCAAGUCGAACGAGACCUUCGGGUCCAGUGGCGCACGGGUUCGUAACGCGUGGGAACCUUCCCUUAGGUUCGGAAUAACUCCCCGAAAGGGGUGCUAAUACCGGAUAAUGUCUUCGGACCAAAGAUUUAUCGCCUUUGGAUGGUCCCGCGUUGGAUUAGCUAGUUGGUAGGGUAAAAGCCUACCAAGGCGACGAUCCAUAGCUGGUCUGGGAGGAUGAUCAGCCACGCUGGGACUGAGACACGGCCCAGACUCCUGCGAAAGGCAGCAGUGGGGAAUUUUGGACAGUGGGCGAAGGGCUGAUCGAGCAAGGCCGCGUGAGUGAUGAAGGCCUUAGGGUUGUAAAGCUCUAUUACCCAGGAUGGUAAUGACAGUACCGGAAGAAUAAGCUACGGCUAACUCCGUG
rnacentral:rRNA from 1 species